rnacentral:rRNA from 1 species
GAUGAACGCUGGCGGCGUGCCUAAUACAUGCAAGUCGAGCGAACGGACGAGAAGCUUGCUUCUCUGAUGUUAGCGGCGGACGGGUGAGUAACACGUGGAUAACCUACCUAUAAGACUGGGAUAACUUCGGGAAACCGGAGCUAAUACCGGAUCAUAUUUUGAACCGCAUGGUUCAAAAGUGAAAGACGGUCUUGCUGUCACUUAUAGAUGGAUCCGCGCUGCAUUAGCUAGUUGGUAAGGUAACGGCUUACCAAGGCAACGAUGCAUAGCCGACCUGAGAGGGUGAUCGGCCACACUGGAACUGAGACACGGUCCAGACUCCUACGGGAGGCAGCAGUAGGGAAUCUUCCGCAAUGGGCGAAAGCCUGACGGAGCAACGCCGCGUGAGUGAUGAAGGUCUUCGGAUCGUAAAACUCUGUUAUUAGGGAAGAACAUAUGUGUAAGUAACUGUGCACGUCUUGACGGUACCUAAACAGAAAGCCACGGCUAACUACGUG